CGUGGGAUGGGAUUUCCAGAUAAAUUGGUGGUCAAAGCAAUUGAAGAAAUUGGAGAAGGCAGUUCCGAAGGGAAAAUACUAGAUACGGUUCUUACAUACUUGGAACUUCAGAAUUC